rnacentral:rRNA from 1 species
CCUUCGGGGAACGAUAACGGCGUCGAGCGGCGGACGGGUGAGUAAUGCCUAGGAAAUUGCCCUGAUGUGGGGGAUAACCAUUGGAAACGAUGGCUAAUACCGCAUGAUGCCUACGGGCCAAAGAGGGGGACCUUCGGGCCUCUCGCGUCAGGAUAUGCCUAGGUGGGAUUAGCUAGUUGGUGAGGUAAGGGCUCACCAAGGCGACGAUCCCUAGCUGGUCUGAGAGGAUGAUCAGCCACACUGGAACUGAGACACGGUCCAGACUCCUACGGGAGGCAGCAGUGGGGAAUAUUGCACAAUGGGCGCAAGCCUGAUGCAGCCAUGCCGCGUGUGUGAAGAAGGCCUUCGGGUUGUAAAGCACUUUCAGUCGUGAGGAAGGUGGUAGUGUUAAUAGCACUAUCAUUUGACGUUAGCGACAGAAGAAGCACCGGCUAACUCCGUGCCAGCAGCCGCGGUAAUACGGAGGGUGCGAGCGUUAAUCGGAAUUACUGGGCGUAAAGCGCAUGCAGGUGGUUUGUUAAGUCAGAUGUGAAAGCCCGGGGCUCAACCUCGGAAUUGCAUUUGAAACUGGCAGACUAGAGUACUGUAGAGGGGGGUAGAAUUUCAGGUGUAGCGGUGAAAUGCGUAGAGAUCUGAAGGAAUACCGGUGGCGAAGGCGGCCCCCUGGACAGAUACUGACACUCAGAUGCGAAAGCGUGGGGAGCAAACAGGAUUAGAUACCCUGGUAGUCCACGCCGUAAACGAUGUCUACUUGGAGGUUGUGGCCUUGAGCCGUGGCUUUCGGAGCUAACGCGUUAAGUAGACCGCCUGGGGAGUACGGUCGCAAGAUUAAAACUCAAAUGAAUUGACGGGGGCCCGCACAAGCGGUGGAGCAUGUGGUUUAAUUCGAUGCAACGCGAAGAACCUUACCUACUCUUGACAUCCAGAGAACUUUCCAGAGAUGGAUUGGUGCCUUCGGGAACUCUGAGACAGGUGCUGCAUGGCUGUCGUCAGCUCGUGUUGUGAAAUGUUGGGUUAAGUCCCGCAACGAGCGCAACCCUUAUCCUUGUUUGCCAGCGAGUAAUGUCGGGAACUCCAGGGAGACUGCCGGUGAUAAACCGGAGGAAGGUGGGGACGACGUCAAGUCAUCAUGGCCCUUACGAGUAGGGCUACACACGUGCUACAAUGGCGCAUACAGAGGGCAGCCAACUUGCGAAAGUGAGCGAAUCCCAAAAAGUGCGUCGUAGUCCGGAUUGGAGUCUGCAACUCGACUCCAUGAAGUCGGAAUCGCUAGUAAUCGUGGAUCAGAAUGCCACGGUGAAUACGUUCCCGGGCCUUGUACACACCGCCCGUCACACCAUGGGAGUGGGCUGCAAAAGAAGUAGGUAG